rnacentral:lncRNA from 1 species
UAUGUCAAUAGGUUAGUACCUAAAAAUGAUAUAAAAUGACUAUAAAUGAUUGUAAAACGUCCAAGAUUUAUAAUAUAACAGCAUUGAACAAUCAAAAUUAUAGAUACGUUGGAGACGUAUCACACCAUAGUGCGCAAGGCAGUCCUCUAACAUCUUCAUUGCAUCUUUGACUUCAAGUCGGAGCUGAGCUGAAGCAAGCCUUUCCGCUUUAAGUUGAGAGUGAAGAAGUCAAACUGGUUGAGGCAGCUACUGCACAGAGGUUGUCUCACACCUGCUGGUGAGUAGCUUCAACUCACCAUCUUCAUCAAGACAAUAACUCGGGGUCAUCUCGCUCUCCUAAAGAUGGUUUGGCUCACUAUCUUCGCUAAAGUUCUGCCUAGCAUAAGACAUGCGACUUUGAAAGAGAAACAAGGAGACACAUAACAGGUUUCACAAUUAUAUAAGGAAAUAAAUGGAUCUGUUCUGCAUAAGGAACAUGUUUUUACAACUACAAUUUAAAACUGGUAGUUGUUGCGAACAUCCAAUCAGAUGUAAACGGCAAAGUAAACAGCAGUGGAGGAAAUUAUGCCUAUCCAAAUCUAUACUAGAACAAAGUUUGAAGGCUCUAGAAGGAUGAACUUACAUUACAUGUUAACACGGGCUAGACAAAGCCCUUCUCCAUGUUGAUGGAAGGAGAAUUCAAUAAAUUCCCUAAAGAAACUUCUUUAUAAGCAUUGCCAUUAUUCUACAUUUUGCAAAGAGUAAAUGUAGAUCAAAUAAUAUUGGAAGAAAUAGAGUAUAAUGAAGCUCAGGUGUAGACUGAUGAUACAUAAUCAAAUAGCAAUUAAUUAAGUACAACGUUACAAG